GGAGUGGUGCCCGAGUGGACGAAGGGGCGGCUCUGGAAAAGCCGUAGGGGCGGAGAAUACCGUCCCUCGCGGGUUCGAAUCCCGCCCACUCCG
rnacentral:tRNA from 1 species